rnacentral:tRNA from 1 species
GGGCCGCUAGCUCAGUUGGUAGAGCAGUUGACUCUUAAUCAAUUGGUCCGGAGUUCGAGUCUCCGGCGGCCCACCA